rnacentral:ncRNA from 1 species
GAAGGUCUGGCCCUUCGGCGUCGCCCUGCGGGGGGAGACGUCAAACCGCCUCAAGCUGCGUUGGCUGAAGACCGUCGUGGUGAGCGUUGAGGAAAAGGCGCACGUGAUGCGUCAGGU